rnacentral:rRNA from 1 species
CAGCAGCCACGGGAAAACAGAGGGUGCAAGCGUUAAUCGGAUUUACUGGGCGUAAAGGGCGCGUAGGUGGUUAUUUAAGUGAGAUGUGAAAUCCCCGGGCUUAACCUGGGAACUGCAUCUUAUACUGGGUAACUGGAGUGCAGUAGAGGGUAGUGGAAUUUCCGGUGUAGCGGUGAAAUGCGUAGAUAUCGGAAGGAACACCAGUGGCGAAGGCGGCUACCUGGACUGAGACUGACACUGAGGCGCGAGAGCGUGGGGAGCAAACAGGAUUAGAUACCCCUGUAGUCCCUGUCUCUUAUAC